rnacentral:snRNA from 1 species
AUGCUCGCUUCAGCAGCACAUAUACUAAAAUUGGCACGACACAGAGAGAUGAACGUGGCCCCUGCACAAGGAUUACACACAGAUUCGUGAUUAUUUCAUAUCUUUA